AGUGAACGCUGGCGGUAGGCCUAACACAUGCAAGUCGAACGGCAGCACAGUAAGAGCUUGCUCUUACGGGUGGCGAGUGGCGGACGGGUGAGGAAUACAUCGGAAUCUACUUUUUCGUGGGGGAUAACGUAGGGAAACUUACGCUAAUACCGCAUACGACCUACGGGUGAAAGCAGGGGAUCUUCGGACCUUGCGCGAUUGAAUGAGCCGAUGUCGGAUUAGCUAGUUGGCGGGGUAAAGGCCCACCAAGGCUACGAUCCGUAGCUGGUCUGAGAGGAUGAUCAGCCACACUGGAACUGAGACACGGUCCAGACUCCUACGGGAGGCAGCAGUGGGGAAUAUUGGACAAUGGGCGCAAGCCUGAUCCAGCCAUACCGCGUAGGUGAAGAAGGCCUUCGGGUUGUAAAGCCCUUUUGUUGGGAAAGAAAAGCAGCAGGUUAAUACCCCGCUGUUCUGACGGUACCCAAAGAAUAAGCACCGGCUAACUUCGUG
rnacentral:rRNA from 1 species